AUUAACGUUGGCAGUGUGCCUAACACAUGCAAGUCGCGCGAUAUAGCGGCAGACGAGAGAGUAAUAACAAGGAAUUUGCCCCCGAGUGAAGGAUAGCCACCCGAAAGGGUGGGUAACCCUGCAUAAUAUCGAAAGAUCAAAGCCGUAAGGCGCUUGGGGAGAAGCCUUGUUCCUAUCAGCUAGUCGGUGAGGUAAUGGCUCACCAAGGCGAUGACGGGUAGCUGGACUGAGAGGUUGACCAGCCUCGAUGGGACUGAGACACGGCCCAUACUCCUACGGGAGGCAGCAGUUGGGAAGUUUGCACAAUGGACGCAAGUCUGAUGCAGCAACACUGCGUGAAGGAUGAAGGUUUUCGGAUCGUAAACUUCUUUUAUCAGGGAAUAAGCUUGAAUGUACCUGAUGAAUAAGCACCGGCUAACUACGU
rnacentral:rRNA from 1 species